rnacentral:rRNA from 1 species
UGGGGAAUAUUGCACAAUGGGCGAAAGCCUGAUGCAGCAACGCCGCGUGAGUGAUGAAGGCCUUCGGGUUGUAAAGCUCUGUCUUCUGGGACGAUAAUGACGGUACCAGAGGAGGAAGCCACGGCUAACUACGUGCCAGCAGCCGCGGUAAUACGUAGGUGGCAAGCGUUGUCCGGAUUUACUGGGCGUAAAGGAUGCGUAGGCGGAUACUUAAGUCAGAUGUGAAAAUCCCGGGCUUAACUUGGGAACUGCAUUUGAAACUGGGUAUCUAGAGUGCGGGAGAGGAAAGUGUAAUUCCUAGUGUAGCGGUGAAAUGCGUAGAGAUUAGGAAGAACACCAGUGGCGAAGGCGACUUUCUGGACCGUAA